rnacentral:rRNA from 1 species
AUUGAACGCUGGCGGCAUGCUUUACACAUGCAAGUCGAACGGCAGCGCGGGCUUCGGCCUGGCGGCGAGUGGCGAACGGGUGAGUAAUGCAUCGGAACGUGCCCAGUAGUGGGGGAUAGCCCGGCGAAAGCCGGAUUAAUACCGCAUACGACCUGAGGGUGAAAGCGGGGGACCGAAAGGCCUCGCGCUAUUGGAGCGGCCGAUGUCGGAUUAGCUAGUUGGUGGGGUAAAGGCUUACCAAGGCGACGAUCCGUAGCUGGUCUGAGAGGACGACCAGCCACACUGGGACUGAGACACGGCCCAGACGCCUACGGGAGGCAGCAGUGGGGAAUUUUGGACAAUGGGGGCAACCCUGAUCCAGCCAUGCCGCGUGCGGGAAGAAGGCCUUCGGGUUGUAAACCGCUUUUGUUCGGGAAGAAAUCCUCUGGGCUAAUACCCCGGGGGGAUGACGGUACCGGAAGAAUAAGCACCGGCUAACUACGU